AACGAACGCUGGCGGCAGGCUUAACACAUGCAAGUCGAACGCCCCGCAAGGGGAGUGGCAGACGGGUGAGUAACGCGUGGGAAUCUACCCAGUUCUACGGAAUAACCCAGGGAAACUUGGACUAAUACCGUAUACGCCCUACGGGGGAAAGAUUUAUCGGAAUUGGAUGAGCCCGCGUUGGAUUAGCUAGUUGGUGGGGUAAUGGCCUACCAAGGCGACGAUCCAUAGCUGGUCUGAGAGGAUGAUCAGCCACACUGGGACUGAGAAACGGCCCAGACUCCGACGGGAGGCAGCAGUGGGGAAUAUUGGACAAUGGGCGAAAGCCUGAUACAGCCAUGCCGCGUGAGUGAUGAAGGCCUUAGGGUUGUAAAGCUCUUUCAGUGGGGACGAUAAUGACGGUACCCACAGAAGAAGCCCCGGCUAACUUCGUGCCAGCAGCCGCGGUAAGAC
rnacentral:rRNA from 1 species